AGAGUUUGAUCAUGGCUCAGGAUGAACGCUGGCGGCGUGCCUAACACAUGCAAGUCGAACGAGAAGCUAACUUCUGAUUCCUUCGGGAUGAUGAGGUUAGCAGAAAGUGGCGAACGGGUGAGUAACGCGUGGGUAAUCUACCCUGUAAGUGGGGGAUAACCCUCCGAAAGGAGGGCUAAUACCGCAUAAGGUCUUCACUUCUUAAGAAGUAAAGAUUAAAGAUGGCCUCUAUACUAUGCUAUCGCUUCAGGAUGAGCCUGCGUCCUAUUAGUUAGUUGGUGGGGUAAUGGCCUACCAAGACCACAAUGGGUAGCCGGUCUGAGAGGAUGUACGGCCACACUGGGACUGAGAUACGGCCCAGACUCCUACGGGAGGCAGC
rnacentral:rRNA from 1 species